rnacentral:lncRNA from 1 species
ACAGUAGUCCUCUGCCUCCACCGCCCCGGGAUCUCCUUGCGCUCGGUCCUCUACGUGGAGUCACCUAUGCAGAGGAAUUCCACGGGGCGGGGGCGAGGACAGGGUGCGGGGGUCUUUAUGGCAGACAAUCCCCGGCUGAGCGCUUGGCCAGAGUUUCUGUGAUGCUAGAAUCUGGACUGCCUGCGACCUCUCCGGGACUCGGACACCAGCCCUCGCCUCCUGGUGAUCUUUUAGGUCCUGCAGAGAAGUGAAGAGGUAUUGGACGUGGCCAGGAUGAGCCCCAGAGAGGCGAAGCCACUUGAGCUCGUGAGUGACAGUCAGAUGUCAAGCCCUGCUCUUUCUAAAGCGUGCUGCCUUCAGAAAAGAAGAGCCAGAAGGAUGGAAAUUACUUCAGAAAGAUGAAUACCAGCUUUGAAGGAAUAAAAGCUGACGAGGAAUUGAAGGAGUUGAGGCACGAGCUUGAACAGGGUUGCAUGUUUGGCCCUUGAUUGUAAAUGCCCAUUGCUGCACCUGUUCCUGUUACUUGGGGAGUUGCAGCAGAAGGAACAGCGGCCUGGGACUCCAGAGAACUGGGUUCCCUCUCAUCCCUCCAGGGCCACCACUUCUUGUGGGCCCUUGGGCAAGUCACUGUACUUUCUGAGUCUCAGUUUCCCCAUUUGCAGAAUGGAAAUAACUACCCCGGUCUACCAACUUAGAAGAAUUGCUUUGAGGAUCUGAUAAGGUGGUGUGGAUGAUGCUGCCUUGGGGGCUUUACAGUCUGGAGCUCAAGGGACCCCUUAAGUUGGGCUUACUUAGUAACUCCAGGGGUGGGCAGAACAGGACUCCAAUGAGGGUUUUUUUCUUUUUCCCUUUUUUUUCUUUUCCUAUCUCUUAACUUUUAUCUUUAUUAUUUUACAAUGCCCUUGUAAGAUGAAACAAGUGAUGCUGAAAUAUCUUUUUCUUUUUUAACCUUUAUUUUAGAAUUGGGGUACAUGUGCAGGUUUGUUACAUAGGUACAGUGUGGGCUGCUGAGGUUUGGGAGUACGAAUGAAUUAGUCACCCCAGUGGUGAGCAUAGUGCCCGAUAAGUGGUUUUUUCAACCCUUACUCCCAUCCCUCUCCAUUCUUGUGUUCCCCAGUGUCUGCUGUUCCCAUUUUUAUGACCAUGUGUACUCAAUGUUUAGCUCCCACUUAGAAGUAAGAACAUGCCCAGCACUUUGGGAGGCCGAGGUGGGUGGAUCAUGAGGUCAAGAGAUCGAGACCAUCUUGGCUAACAAAGUGAAACCCUGUCUCUACUAAAAACAUAAAAAAUUGGCCGGGUGUGGUGGUGGGCACCUGUAGUCCUAGCUACUCGGGAGGCUGAGACAGGAGAAUCGCCUGAACCGGGGAGGUGGAGGUUGCAGUGAGCUGAGAUUGUACCACUGCACUCCAGCCUGGGUGACAGAGUGAGACUCCAUCUC